rnacentral:rRNA from 1 species
UACGUAGGGGGCAAGCGUUGUCCGGAAUCAUUGGGCGUAAAGAGCGUGUAGGCGGCCCGGUCAGUCGGUUGUGAAAGUCAGGGGCUCAACCCUUGAAUGCCGACCGAUACUGCCGGGCUAGAGUCCGGAAGAGGCGAGUGGAAUUCCUGGUGUAGCGGUGAAAUGCGCAGAUAUCAGGAGGAACACCAAUGGCGAAGGCAGCUCGCUGGGACGGUACUGACGCUGAGACGCGAAAGCGUGGGGAGCAAACAGG